AGAGCUUAGCUGAUUGGUGAACAGUGAUUGUUUUCCUCUUUGUUCACAGUGGCUAAGUUCUGC
rnacentral:pre_miRNA from 1 species